UGGCGCGGUUGCUUAGCGCCGACGCGGUUGCUUAGCGCCGGCGUCGACGCGGCGGGACCGGCAGCGCGGCAGCGUCGGGAGGCACCGGGGGCCGCUCGGGGUUCUUUUUGGCUCUUCUCGCCCUCUCCCCGCUCUCUCCCCCUCCCCGCCCGGGGCUCGGCAGAGCCCGCCGGCCGCUUCCCGCAUGCAGAGGCUCAUCGGGCUCCUCAGGAGGCUGCGGGGGCGGCCGCCGCCCGGCAGCGCUCCCGCGCCCCGCGCGGCCGAGCCCCGGGAGCAGCGCCGGGGCGGGCUGCACUGCGCGGCCGCCAGCGGUGACCUGGCCCGGCUGCAGCGGCGCUGGUGGCGGAAGUGGUUCCGCAUCAACGAGCGGGACGCGGAGAAGCAGACGCCUCUGCAUCUUGCUUGUGCGAACGGCCACGCAGCUGUCGUUCGAUUUUUAGCAGGAAAAAAGUGCAAGCUAAAUCCUUGUGACAGUUUUCAGAAAUCGCCGCUGAUGAAGGCAGUAGAGCGCCAGCACAAAGACUGUGUGGCUAUUUUGCUGGAGCAUGGUGCCAGCCCUGACCUCAAAGGUCCCGGCGGCAACACUGCCCUUCACCUGGCUGCCGUCAUUCCUAAUAAAUCUCUAGUGGAGCUGUUACUUGCGCACAAGGCCCAUAUUGAUGCGCAGAAUGAGUUGGGAUACACUCCGCUUACUCUUGCGAUCACCGAGCACUGUGAAGAGAUGGUCGAGUUCCUUCUUCAAAAAGGAGCUGAUGUGCACGCUCGAGAUAACCGUAAAAGGACCACUCUUAUGCUUGCUGCUUGUGCUGGGGAUAUGAAUAUAAUACAAAUUCUCCUUCAUCACGGUGCUGAUCUUUCUCAUCAAGACCCAUUUGGCUGCACAGCUGAGUACUAUGCCAGGGAGUUUCAACAUGAUGAUAUUGCUGACCAACUGGAGAAAUACAUGUUCUAUGAAGGGAUGGGAGAAUGUUUUGCAAGAGGCACAGAAGGCCCAGCAGUAGAUGGCAGGUUUUGCUCUGCGCUGACUGCUGAAUUUACCUCGGGUGCACCUGCAGGUGUCUUGCCAGCAGCAGCAGGAGCAGAGGAAGAGAAAGAUGUAGAUUCCUGGUCUGAUUUUGAGUUGGAUUUUGAAGAUCUAAAGAAAGAGUCAGCUGGCAUCCUGCUUCCACCUGCGGAUGAACACAGAGCACAUGUGCACUCUGGUGCAGAGGAGCGUGGCAAUGGUGUCUUGCCAGCAGCAGGAGCAGAGGAAGAGAAAGAUGUAGAUUCCUGGUCUGAUUUUGAGUUGGAUUCUGAAGAUCUAAAGAAAGAGUCAGCUGGCAUCCUGCUUCCACCUGCGGAUGAGCACAGAGCACAUGGGCACUCUGGUGCAGAGGAGCGUGGCAAUGGUGUCUUGCCAGCAGCAGGAGCAGAGGAAGAGAAAGAUGUAGAUUCCUGGUCUGAUUUUGAGUUGGAUUCUGAAGAUCUAAAGAAAGAGUCAGCUGGCAUCCUGCUUCCACCUGCAGAUGAACACAGAGCACAUGUGCACUCUGGUGCAGAGGAGCGUGGCAAUGGUGUCUUGCCAGCAGCAGGAGCAGAGGAAGAGAAAGAUGUAGAUUCCUGGUCUGAUUUUGAGUUGGAUUCUGAAGAUCUAAAGAAAGAGUCAGCUGGCAUCCUGCUUCCACCUGCGGAUGAACACAGAGCACAUGCGCACUCUGGUGCAGAGGAGCGUGGCAAUGGUGUCUUGCCAGCAGCAGGAGCAGAGGAAGAGAAAGAUGUAGAUUCCUGGUCUGAUUUUGAGUUGGAUUCUGAAGAUCUAAAGAAAGAGUCAGCUGGCAUCCUGCUUCCACCUGCGGAUGAACACAGAGCACAUGUGCACUCUGGUGCAGAGGAGCGUGGCAAUGGUGUCUUGCCAGCAGCAGGAGCAGAGGAAGAGAAAGAUGUAGAUUCCUGGUCUGAUUUUGAGUUGGAUUCUGAAGAUCUAAAGAAAGAGUCAGCUGGCAUCCUGCUUCCACCUGCGGAUGAACACAGAGCACAUGCGCACUCUGGUGCAGAGGAGCGUGGCAAUGGUGUCUUGCCAGCAGCAGGAGCAGAGGAAGAGAAAGAUGUAGAUUCCUGGUCUGAUUUUGAGUUGGAUUCUGAAGAUCUAAAGAAAGAGUCAGCUGGCAUCCUGCUUCCACCUGCGGAUGAACACAGAGCACAUGUGCACUCUGGUGCAGAGGAGCGUGGCAAUGGUGUCUUGCCAGCAGCAGGAGCAGAGGAAGAGAAAGAUGUAGAUUCCUGGUCUGAUUUUGAGUUGGAUUCUGAAGAUCUAAAGAAAGAGUCAGCUGGCAUCCUGCUUCCACCUGCGGAUGAACACAGAGCACAUGUGCACUCUGGUGCAGAGGAGCGUGGCAAUGGUGUGUUGCCAGCAGCAGGAGCAGAGGAAGAGAAAGAUGUAGAUUCCUGGUCUGAUUUUGAGUUGGAUUCUGAAGAUCUAAAGAAAGAGUCAGCUGGCAUCCUGCUUCCACCUGCGGAUGAACACAGAGCACAUGCGCACUCUGGUGCAGAGGAGCGUGGCAAUGGUGUGUUGCCAGCAGCAGGAGCAGAGGAAGAGAAAGAUGUAGAUUCCUGGUCUGAUUUUGAGUUGGAUUCUGAAGAUCUAAAGAAAGAGUCAGCUGGCAUCCUGCUUCCACCUGCGGAUGAACACAGAGCACAUGCGCACUCUGGUGCAGAGGAGCGUGGCAAUGGUGUCUUGCCAGCAGCAGGAGCAGAGGAAGAGAAAGAUGAAGAUUCCUGGUCUGAUUUUGAGUUGGAUUCUGAAGAUCUAAAGAAAGAGUCAGCUGGCAUCCUGCUUCCACCUGCGGAUGAACACAGAGCACAUGCGCACUCUGGUGCAGAGGAGCGUGGCAAUGGUGUGUUGCCGGUAGGAAGAGCAGAGCAAGAGGAAGGUUUUGACUCCUGUUCUGAGAAUAAAGUACUUUUUCUUAGAGAGAAAUGGGUCAUGCGGCUGCAGCAAGAUCUUGCCGAUGCUCUCAGGAAGAACUCCCUGGCAGAAGCUUCACUUGAAGCUAAGAAGUGCUACAGCAGGGACCUGCAGGAACAAAAACUGCGGUUGCAGAAGGAACUAGACAGAUCUAAAGCCAAGCUGCAGGAAGUGAAAGAAAGGUGUAUCUGCACGGAGUGUUAUGCCGAGUCCCUGAAGAAUGCCAUAAAGGAGAAGGAACUAACAACUUCCAGGAACGUGCAGGCCAUUCUGGCCGUGCCUUCUGCAGCUGUGGCUAUCCCAGAGCUGGAAGAACAAGUGCAACAGCACCAAGUUGUAAUGACCAGGCUGGAAGCCACAGCACAGCAACAAGCCAAGACCACUGAAGCCCUUCAGAAAGACCAGCAAGCCUCUGCCUCACGUGAGAGUGAAAUCGAGGAAGUGAAGAAUCUAGCUGUGAUGAAAUGCCGAACAGAAGCACUUCUGAAGAAAACGGGGAGAAGAAACAUUGCAAUGGAGCAAGAGCGUACCAGGUUGAAGAACCUUCUGGAGAGCUCAGACAAAGCUGAGUGUUAUGUAAGGGGAAAGCGUCAGAUUCCAGGCAGAGAUGAGGAAUAUCUGUUCUGAGGUGGGCAGCAAAGCUGGCAAACUAAGGCGAAAGGUGAGUUCUGGCUCAUUUGGUGGAUUUAAGGUGAUUAUUUUUUUCUGCUGCAACAGGCAUGAUUCUUUUCCUAUACUUUUUGUCUGUGUUGCUAAUUAUCUACUACUGUCAGCACGUGCCAAACACAGUCUCCCUGGCCACCCACCUGAUGGACUUCCACAGAAGUGAGGAACUUUAGAGCUCUGUCUUUGAGUUGCUUGUUUUGCUGCAUACAAGUUGAUGAUUUUUCCCCAACACCUGGAGAUGCAGUCAAAAACACACAUGCAGCAGGCAAGACAAAACCAGAACUCGCAAGAAAAGUUGUCUACUUUGUGUGAGACUCAGAAAGAACCAGGGCUUAACCUCAGAAGGCACUGGGAGGCUAACAUGGUGAACCUCCCAUACCGUUAGUGAUGAGAAGAUGCUAGAGAAGAGGAAGUUCCAGUGCCAGAAAACAGAGUGCUCACAGGAAGAUGAAGGAAGCCUGGAAAACUUUGCCUUCCACCAUGUGCAGCCAUGACCCUGCAUCUAAUUCCAAGUGUUCUGUUGCAGCUUAGUAUUUAAUAAACUGUGUUUUAGUCUGUUUUGCUGCA